UGUGUUACAUGGGCUGUCCUUCGUAAAAGUUGUACAUAUAUUAAGCGAAAGUAGAACGUUUAACUAUCAAUUUUUUUUUUAAUUUUUUUUUUUUUUUACUACGCAUAAAUCUUCUGCGGUUAUGAAAAAUAUUACUUCAAACUGUGAGAGAAGUUUCAUUAUAGAAGCACUGAGUAGGGGAAAACGUAUAGAUGGUAGAGAAAUUUAUGAUCAUAGGAAAGUUAACUUCUUUUUUGGAAGAGAGUACGGCCAUGUAGAAGCACACCUUGGAGACACUAAGGUUUUAGCUCAAAUAAGCAGUGAGGUAGUUGUUCCUUCUUCUGAAAGAUCUACAGAAGGUUUUCUUAUUUUCAAUAUUGACAUAUCUCCUAUGGCCUCCCCUGCUUAUGAAACCGGAAGGCUCACAAAGGAAUGUAUUGAACUGACAAGAAUUGUAGAACGUUGUUUUCGUGAAUCCAGAGUGGUGGAAACGGAGGGUCUAUGUAUAGUUGCUGGGG